ACUGUCUCAGCAGGAGCACCAGCAGCACCAAAAGUAACACCGCAAAGGAAGCUACAAGAUGCCCUGUCUUUCAAAACCAGUUAAAGUCGAAACAAUCACUAAAGGGGAAACCCUCGGUGCUGAUGUAGCUCUGAUGAACCAAGUGAAAUGGAAAGUUAGGCUGGAGGGAACAAACCAGGGUGGACAAUGCACCAUUGUUUUCUGCCCAAUCACCUCCCGUGUUGGCUCAGAUGUGGAGGCAGCCAUGCAAAACGUGCCAUUGGUUGAAAGGAUCAUCCUAGUCUUGAUGCACCACACCAGAGAUCUUGACUACUCAACUGCUGGGACGAAGUGGUCAGAUAUAUAUCCAAAUAUUGACCUGGAAGUUCAUGUUCUCUUCCAUGAAAGUGUCCCAGGGUUACUCACCUGUUCUAAGAACACGGAGGCCGUCUAUCAAAUCCAAAAAUAUUUGGAACCACAUGUUCAAAAGGGUUGGCUUUGGAGAUUAUUACCUAUUUUGUUAUUAUGUGGUAUUGUAGUUCUGUUUGUGGUCCUGUUCCUUGUUUUACUGAGGUAAAGCACAGAUAAACAAACAAAACACAGUGAGAAAUGCAAUGGUUCUAGGUUAUUCUGCAACAAAUGUUUAUGCAUUAAUCAAGUCAUCUAAAAAAUCUAUAUUAUAUUAGAAAAAAAAAUUCACAAUAUACUGCAACAUAAAUGACAUAGGUCAAAGUAAAAUGAAGUAAAAUGAAUUAUGUAGAAACUGCAAUUAAACAAAUUGAACCGUAAUUCAAUCAGAAGUACAAAUUGAAGGAAAAAUAACUUGCUUCUAAUGAAAUAUUUCUACGUGAACUAUAAAUAAUUUCCAGUUAUUGAUAGUUGGUAUUAUUAUUGUUUGUCUGCUUUAAACAUGAAACCAAAGCUCUAUUGAAGUCUCCCACCCAUACAAAAAUUAUCUGGAGAAUCAUAGUCUGCAUGAGUGCAGCUCACCCAGUCAAUUUUCAACAUAUUGUAUUAGGAAUCUAACCAGGAGCCAGUGGAGCUGCUGUAAGACUGCAGUGAUGUGAUGAAAACAGGGUUUUUUGUUAAUAAUGCAAGCAGCUGCAUGCUGAACCAGUUAAAGCUAACAGUGGGAUUUUUGAGGAAGACCAACAAAGUAAAAGAUUUAAGUAAUCGAUGUGAGAAGUUGCAAUAGUAUUGGACACAAGUAUA